GACGAACGCUGGCGGCGCGCUUAACACAUGCAAGUCGAGCGAAGCGGCGGACGGGUGAGUAACACGUGAGUAACCUGCCUUAGACAUUGGGAUAGCCUCGGGAAACCGGGAUUAAUACCAAAUGGUCUAAGAUGGACUCGCGUCCCAUUAGCUCGUUGGUGAGGUAACGGCCCAACAAGGCGACGAUGGGUAACCGGCGCAGGAGGGGGAACGGCAACAUUGGAGCUGAGAAACGGUCCAAACUCUGCGGGAGGCGGCAGUGGGGGAUAUUGCACAAUGGAGGGAACUCUGAUGCACCGAGGCCGCGAGAACGAAGAAGGCUUUCGAGUCGUAAAGUUCUUUUAUAUGGGAAGCGGUACCAUAAGAAAAAGCGCCGGCUAACUACGUGCCAGCAGCCGCGGUAAUAC
rnacentral:rRNA from 1 species